CUAGCGACUUCAGAGUUUGAUCCUGGCUCAGGACGAACGCUGGCGGCGUGCCUAACACAUGCAAGUCGAGCGGAGACAUAUAACGGAGUUGAAGUUUUCGGAUGGAGACAAAGAUGUAUGUUUUAGCGGCGGACGGGUGAGUAACGCGUGAGCAACCUGUCCUUCACAGGGGGAUAACACAGCGAAAGUUGUACUAAUACCGCAUAAGACCACGGGAUCGCAUGAUUCAGGGGUCAAAGGAGCAAUCCGGUGAAGGGUGGGCUCGCGUCCGAUUAGAUAGUUGGUGAGGUAACGGCCCACCAAGUCGACGAUCGGUAGCCGACCUGAGAGGGUGAUCGGCCACAUUGGGACUGAGACACGGCCCAA
rnacentral:rRNA from 1 species